rnacentral:misc_RNA from 1 species
AACGCACAUUGCGCCCGCGAGUAUUCUCGCGGGCAUGCCUGUUCGAGCGUCAUUUCAACCAUCAAGCCCCCCGGCUUGUGUUGGGGACCUGCGGCUGCCCGCAGGCCCCGAAAUCCAGUGGCGGGCUCGCUGUCGCACCGAGCGUAGUAGCACACUUCUCGCUCCGGGAGCGCGGCGGGCGCCUGCCGUGAAACCCCCCACGUACCAAAGGUUGACCUCGGAUCAGGUAGGAAUACCCGCUGAACUUAA